GUGGGGAAUAUUGGGCAAUGGGGGCAACCCUGACCCAGCAACGCCGCGUGAGGGAAGAAGGUUUUCGGAUUGUAAACCUCUGUCCUAUGGGAAGAAGGAAGUGACGGUACCAUAGGAGGAAGCCCCGGCUAACUACGUGCCAGCAGCCGCGGUAAUACGUAGGGGGCGAGUGUUGUCCGGAAUUACUGGGCGUAAAGGGUGCGCAGGUGGCCUGACAAGUCAGAUGUGAAAUACCGAUGCUUAACGUCGGGGCUGCAUUUGAAACUAUGAGGCUGGAGUGCAGGAGAGGGAAGCGGAAUUCCUAGUGUAGCGGUGAAAUGCAUAGAUAUUAGGAGGAACACCAGUGGCGAAGGCGGCUUUCUGGACUGUAACUGACACUGAGGCACGAAAGCGUGGGGAGCAAACAGGAUUAGAAACCCCUGUAGUCC
rnacentral:rRNA from 1 species